rnacentral:lncRNA from 10 species
GUGAGAAUUCAUCAGUGUUAUCGAUAAGACUUUGCAAUUAUUUCUUUCAAACUGAACUUUUUCCCUAUUCACUUAUUUUUCCUCAUUGCAAAAUAAUCAAAGCAUUGAUGAGUGUUUCUGUUUAAAUUCAAAGGACAUUCCACCUUUAACCUUAGCAUUCAUGAGACACAAAAUGGGUUUUUCUUUUUGCUGAUUUAAAAAGCUGCUAUGAAGCUGCACAGUGCGGAAGAGGGCACCCCUGCUCCAGAAAAGAAGAAACAAAACUGCCUGCCAUAGACACUUGGUAGGGAGUGGCAAAUGGAAUCUUGGUUUGUUUUUCUCUUAGGACUUUGACAAUUAUUUUUCCUUGAAAAGAAUAAGAGAAUCUACCUAAAAUAUUAAUACUAGUUUCAGAGCUCUAGGAUAAUAUAGAGCAGAGUCUCUUUUUUUUAAAAAAGGAAAGCGGUUUCAUUUCUGACAGUGGAUUUCUUCCACUGAUGUGCACACUCUUUGACAUGAAAAGCUGCACGAAGCUGCCUUGAAUUCAUUCUGCAGAUGGAAAGUUGCAAGUACGGUAAUUAGCUAAGCAGUGGCAAGGCCGACCAUCUGAGGUUUGAUUUCUCAUCAAGAGAUAGUGUCCGACACACGUGCCACUGAGCAUGCUUGCAGGGAGGAACUUGGAUUGUCCUUCAGUAAAAUUCCACUUUGAUGCGCAAAGCGAACUUGAAUUUCUGCUUGGCCUACCACAGGCCUGCAACAUGCACUUUCUCCUCGAGGUGAGAAGGUCUUUUUCUCUCCACUCUGAAACACCGCUGCCUGCACCUUUUGCUGAGUUUAGAGUAGCAUCAUACUUUCUGCCACGAAUGCCACAAAUACUGCCUUUUCAACUUGGUUUUGUAAAAUGUAAUGGUACUAAAUCCGCCAAAGGGAUAAAGCACCCUUACUUUGGAUUUGCCAGUCCCAUGGGUACAUAACUGACCUACUACUCUCCCACCUCCCAACCUUGAAACUCCAGCCCCCUGAACGGCCUCACCACUCCAACCCCCACUGCAAUUUCCCACUCCCCACCUCCAUGCAUUGCCCAUUCACCAAGCCAGCCACAUCUCCCUUUAAGUUGAAAACUCACCCGAAAGCCCACUACCUCUUCCAUGCAGCCUCCCCUGAUUAAGUGAGGAUGAAGAAACCUCCAAAGCAUGGCCGACAAACUCCCAAUAAACGAGAACACACACCCCCCCAAAACAAACACAGAAACUCACAAAAGAAGAAAAUGACACAUUCUCUACUUUUGAUUUGUGAAACUCCUAUGGGGCUAAGGAGAUCAAUUUUAUACCAAUAAAUCAUUUCAGAAAAUGAAGUCAUUUUAAUAUUCUUGGGGUUACUCAGCAAAACACUUUGCUUGGACGUCUCUUUUGUACUUUCCUUAAAUUCUUCUUCCUUUUCUUCUCGGCUUUUUGAACGUAUGACUGAAGGGAACUGCCACUCACUGACACGGACAACAGUAAAGGAACUUGGUCUUCACUAUGCCUCAUAGUGGUGGGUCACACUGCCCAGGAGGAACCCGCAAUGAGACCGGCAAAUGCCUUAACCAUCUCAUUGUCUCAUCAGGAAGAAGCUUAAAUGACUCUUCUUGCUCACAUACUUCCUGGGCAAACAUGUCUGCUCUGUUGGGAUAAAGGACGCUCUAGACCAGGCUCUGCUGAAAGAUCCAGGGCAAAGGUUCCUGACAAGACUAUGUCCAGCCUCAAAUAAGGCCACAGAAGAGCCCAGGCUCGCUGACGAGCACCGGCUCCGAGGCAGUCACAUCAGGAGACAGAAACAGACAUGUUGGUGCUGCCCUCUCAGGUCAGUGCAAAUGCCACUUGAGGAGGGCUGAGAGCUUUGCAGCAUAAAAUGACCAGAACAAGGAGAAACACAGAUGCAAUGGCAAUAGCUGGCAAUUCGCACAUGGCGUCAAACACCACUGCCACAGAAGCUUUUUAGCUACAAGCCACGCUAUGCAACCUUUAAGCAAAACAUUAUUGAUUUUGUGGUUGUAAAAACAUACCUUCAACUGCAGAACUCAGUUUUAUGACACCUUGAAUAAAAACAAAAAGUGGCAGUUAUAUAAUGGACCCAAAUCGCCUUUUCCAGGCUUCUCAUAACACACGCAUGCUUCAGAUUUGGAUUUUUCUUUUUCUGCUGGCAUUGCAAGAACGUAACUAAACAAAUAUCAACUUCAAAAAUAAAAUAAUUUUUAGUCUUAACUAGGUCUCAUGGAUGUCUUCUUUUCCCCCACUAAAACCAUUUGGGGAAAUUUUUCACUAAAAAUGGGAUCAAACAUGUUUUUGGAUGGGACAAAGGCCAAGUCUGCCUGAGUGACUAUUUCUGUGUAUAAAUUAUACCAGAUUAUGGAUCAAUAAAAGUUCACACAAUAGGAUGCUAGGGACCAGCACUUCCUCUUUGAUACUGUAUCUAGAGAUCAUCUGAUGCAUGUUAGGACAGAGUUUCUGUUGAAACAUGUAACAGGUGGUUAAAAACCAUGGUGUGAUCUGGUAACUUUCUUCUCUGGGGUGGUUGGGCCAGAGCCCUUUUCUUGGUCUGAUGGGUUUAGAUUUCAGCUCCCUCAAGUCAGAGAGUGAACGGGUUAUCUGAGCAAGUCAAGUUGUUCAUGAAGCAAGUCAGUACCCUUGACUGAUAUUUAUGCACCUUUGCAGUGAAUUUUUUUUUUUUUUGAGACAGAGUCUCGCUCUGUCACCCAGGCUGGAGUGCAGUGGCGCAAUCUCGGAUCUUGGAUCUCGGCUCACUGCAACCUCUGCCUCCUGGGUGGACGCCAUUCUCCUGCCUCAGCCUCCCGAGUGGCUGGGACUACAGGCGCCCGCCAGCACGCCCGGCUAAUUUUUUGUAUUUUUAGUAGAAACAUGGUUUCACUGUA